rnacentral:rRNA from 1 species
UACGGAGGAUCCAAGCGUUAUCCGGAAUCAUUGGGUUUAAAGGGUCCGUAGGCGGUUUGGUAAGUCAGUGGUGAAAGCCCAUCGCUCAACGGUGGAACGGCCAUUGAUACUGCCAGACUUGAAUUAUUAGGAAGUAACUAGAAUAUGUAGUGUAGCGGUGAAAUUGCUUAGAGAUUACAUGGAAUACCAAUUGCGAAGGCAGGUUACUACUAAUGGAUUGACGCUGAUGGACGAAAGCGUGGGUAGCGAACAGG